AAGCGUCAAAAAAACGAGGCUCUUUGUUUGAAUUGGGGACCUGGAGAGUCACAGCUACCGCGACACUACAAGCAGAUAAACACUGGGCACUACCUAAAUGGCGGGAUUUAUUUAUUUUUGAGAGCGCGCAAGCAGGGAAAGGGCAGAGAGAGGUAGACAGAAGAUCUGAAGCGGGCUCUGUGCUGACAGCAGCAAGUACAAUGUGGGGUUUGAACUCACGAAAUCAUGUCCUGAGCGGAAACCAAGAGUCGUCGCUCAACCGACUGAGCCACCCAGGUGACUCUGAAAGUCAUUCUUAAAAGCCCCAGAAAACUUGUUCAGAUCAUGCCAAUGUACUCAAGGCCCCAGGCUCCACACCCAGUGCAGAGCCCAAUGCAGGGCUUGGACUCAUGAUCCUGAAAUCAAGACCUGACCUAAGAUCAAGAGUCAGACACUUACCCAACUGAGCCACCCAGGCAUCCCUUGAAAACACUAAUUUGAAAAGAUAUAUGCACCCCUAUGUUUACUGCAACAUUAUUUACAAUAGCCAAAUUAUGGAAGAAACCCAAGUUGCUUAUAAUUAAUAAAUUAUAUAAUAUAUUAUAUAAUUCUGCUUAUUAAUUAAAAUUGAAAUAUAUAAUGGAGUGUUAUUCAGCUGUAAAAAAGAAUGAAGUCUUGCCAUUUGCAACAGCAUGAAUGGAUCUAGAGGGUAUAAUGCUAAGUGAAAUAAGUCAGACAAAGAUAAAUGCCAUAUGAGUAUACUCACAUAUGGAAUUUAAGAAACAAAGCAAACAAAGAAAAAAAAAGAUGAGCCAGAAAACAGACUCUUAACUAUAGAGCACAGAGGGUUACCAGAGGGGAGGUGGGUGGGGGAAAGAAUUAAAUAGGUGAUGAUUAAGGAGUGCAUAUGUUGUGGUGAGCACAGUGUUAUAUGCAAGUGUUGAAUCACUAUAUUGUAUGCUUGAAACUAAGAUAAUACUGUAUGUUAGCUAACUGGAAUGUAAAAACACCCAGUCAAAUUGAGUUCAGUCUUUUGAAUCCUUAAAGAACUAGGUGUGUUCCCGAGAUCAGAUUGUUGAGCAAACAAUUGUUGAGCAAACUUUAGGGCCAGUUUGUCUGUCUAGUUUAGGCACUCUUCUCUCAUGCCCUGAUCUCUCACCCUUUCCUCGUAUGUUGGUUGUAAACAUACAUGAUACAAGUAAAAUAUGUAUGUAAGCUUACAUAAACAAGUCCUUAUGUCAUUUGUGUCUCCAGCUAACCCUGAGACCAGGACAUCUGGAUUUGGAGAGCAACUGAGCAAGCAAAUUGUAAGAUUGGGUGGAUGUGGUCAUUGUGUGAUGUGGAAUUUCAGCAGUUCUAAAUGGUUGAAGUAGAGUGGAGAAGAACAGUCAUGAUUCACCUGCUGUUGAUAAAUGUUUAAAACUAACAUUUUUUAAAGUUGAGUUUAUUGAGGUAUAAUUUACAUAGAGUAAAAUUUAUCCUUUUUGUGUAUACACUUCUGAGUUCUUUUUUUUAAG